UACGUAGGGUGCAAGCGUUGUCCGGAAUUAUUGGGCGUAAAGCGCGUGUAGGCGGCUCGAUAAGUCUGCUGUGAAAGUCCAAGGCUCAACCUUGGGAUGCCGGUGGAUACUGUCGAGCUCGAGUCCGGAAGAGGAGUGUGGAAUUCCGUGGUGUAGCGGUGAAAUGCGCAGAUAUCAGGAGGAACACCGGUGGCGAAGGCGGGUCUCUGGGCCGGAUGAC
rnacentral:rRNA from 1 species